UGGGGAAUAUUGGACAAUGGGCGCAAGCCUGAUCCAGCCAUGCCGCGUGAAUGAUGAAGGCCUUAGGGUUGUAAAAUUCUUUCAACGGUGAAGAUAAUGACGGUAACCGUAGAAGAAGCCCCGGCUAACUUCGUGCCAGCAGCCGCGGUAAUACGAAGGGGGCUAGCGUUGUUCGGAAUUACUGGGCGUAAAGCGCACGUAGGCGGGCUGAUUAGUUGGUGGUGAAAUCCCAGAGCUCAACUCUGGAACUGCCAUCAAUACUGUCAGCCUGGAGCAUAGUAGAGGUUAGUGGAAUUCCAAGUGUAGAGGUGAAAUUCGUAGAUAUUUGGAGGAACACCAGUGGCGAAGGCGACUGACUGGGCUAUUGCUGACGCUGAGGUGCGAAAGCGUGGGGAGCAAACA
rnacentral:rRNA from 1 species